AGAGUUUGAUCCUGGCUCAGGAUAAACGUUAGCGGCAGGUCUUACACAUGCAAGUCGAGGGGUAACGGAGGUGCUUGCACUUGCCGACGACCGGCGCACGGGUGAGUAACGAGUAUGUAACUUGCCUCGCACAGGAGGAUAGUCAUUGGAAACAGUGUUUAAUACUCCAUAGUAUCAAUAUGAGGCAUUUUGUAUUGAUUAAACAUUUAUGGGUGCGAGAUAGGCAUGCUUCAGAUUAGCUAGUUGGAGAGGUAAAAGCUCACCAAGGCGACGAUCUGUAGGGGUCCUGAGAGGGAAGUCCCCCACACUGGUACUGAGACACGGACCAGACUACUACGGUAGGCAGCAGUGAAGAAUAUUGGUCAAUGGGCGAGAGCCUGAACCAGCCAUGCCGCGUGCAGGAAUAAGGUCUUACAGAUUGUAAACUGCUUUUAAACAGGAGGAAGAUCGUCAUGUAUGGCGAGAUUGACGUUACUGUAAGAAUAAGUAUCGGCUAACUCCGUGCCAGCAGCCGCGGUAAUACGGAGGAUACAAACGUUAUCCGGAUUUAUUGGGUUUAAAGAGUCUGUAGGCGGACAGAUAAGUCAGAGGUAAAAGAUAGUGGCUUAACCAUAUAUAAGCCUUUGAAACUGUUUGUCUUGAAUUAUGUUAAAGUUAGAGGGAUGUGGCAAGUAGCGGUGAAAUGCGUAGAUAUGUCACAGAACACCGGUAGUGAAGGCGUUUAAUUGAACCUAUAUGGACGCUGAGAGACGAAAGCUGGGGGAGCGAACAGGCUUAGAUACCUGGUAGUCCAAGCCGUAAACGAUGAUUACUAGUUGUUUGUUUUUCGGGACAGAUGACCAAGCGAAAGCGAUAAGUAAUCCACCUGGGGAGUACGGUCGCAAGGCUGAAACUCAAAGGAAUAGACGGGGACCCGCACAAGCGGUGGAGCAUGUGGUUUAAUUCGAUGAUACGCGAGGAACCUUACCAAGGCUUAAAUGCAAGACGAAUAUAGUGGAAACAUUAUAGUCUUCGGACGUUUUGCAAGGUGCUGCAUGGUUGUCGUCAGCUCGUGCCGUGAGGUGUCAGGUUAAGUCCUAUAACGAGCGCAACCCCUGUUGUUAGUUGCCAGCGAGUGAAGUCGGGGACUCUAACGAGACUGCCUACGUAAGUAGAGAGGAAGGAGGGGACGACGUCAAAUCAUCACGGCCCUUACGUUUUGGGCUUCACACGUGCUACAAUGGUGCAUACAAAGAGAAGCGAGCUUGUGAGAGUGAGCGGAUCUCAUAAAGUGCAUCUCAGUUCGGAUCGGAGUCUGCAACUCGACUCUGUGAAGUUGGAAUCGCUAGUAAUCGUAUAUCAGCCAUGAUACGGUGAAUAUGUUCCCGGGUCUUGUACUCACCGCCCGUCAAAUCACGGGAGCUGGGGGUGCCUAAAGUCAGUGACCGCAAGGAGCUGCCUAGGGCAAAACUAGUGACUGGGAUUAAGUCGUAACAA
rnacentral:rRNA from 1 species